GAUGAACGCUGGCUACAGGCUUAACACAUGCAAGUCGAGGGGAGACGACGGGGAAGCUUGCUUCCCCGGGCGUCGACCGGCGCACGGGUGAGUAACGCGUAUCCAACCUGCCUCUGACUGAGGGAUAACCCGUCGAAAGUCGGCCUAAUACCUCAUGGUAUCGUCUGCGGGCAUCCAACGACGAUUAAAGAUUUCAUCGGUCAGGGAUGGGGAUGCGUCUGAUUAGCUUGUUGGCGGGGUAACGGCCCACCAAGGCUACGAUCAGUAGGGGUUCUGAGAGGAAGGUCCCCCACAUUGGAACUGAGACACGGUCCAAACUCCUACGGGAGGCAGCAGUGAGGAAUAUUGGUCAAUGGGCGAGAGCCUGAACCAGCCAAGUAGCGUGCAGGAAGACGGCCCUAUGGGUUGUAAACUGCUUUUAUGCGGGGAUAAAGUGAGGGACGGGUCCCUCAUUGCAGGUACCGCAUGAAUAAGGACCGGCUAAUUCCGUG
rnacentral:rRNA from 1 species